GUUAAAAAUGGUUCAACUAAUUCCAAUGAAAUCCUUCCACUACAAGCUGUUAGCUUACUAACAGAUGCACAAUACUUAGAAAUUAUAGAUAAACCAGUCAAAAAGUUCAGCCACAAUUAUUAUCAGCAAUUCAAUGAAUCCCAGUUCUGAUCCACACAGAAUGAUAUAGACAUUGGCACAUGGAAUAUUAUUGCAUUCCUCUAAUUUUGCAACGAAAGCCUCCAAUUUACAACUUACCUCGAUUCACCAAGACUUGGUAGUAUCAACUCCCCUCAGAUAUGAUGUAUUCAUCGCUAGACUCAAGUAGGGUUUCUAAAGUAUUAUAAUAAUUACAAUCCACUUACAGCUGGGGUUACCUGAGCAAUUACUCAGACUUAAAGAUCUGCUCGUAUGAAUAGAGAACUACUUGUAGCUAAUUGAUGCAACUGUGGCGCUUUCCUAGCUAGAUGUAAGGGUGUGGAUGUAAUGGCUAGGUCCUCAAAUGACAUAGAUCUGCAAUCUCCUUGUUCCAAAUGUGAAGAGAAUGCGAGAGUGAUAGGCACAGGUCGUUAGUUUGUUGGUCCGACGGUAGUGUCCUCGUCUGGCCCCCCUCUUCCAUAAAGCGGGUGUAAUCGAGGGCUACUGGCUCAGGUUGUGCAGUGCCUGCAUCUUUGUCAGAAAAGCCAUCCUCUGCUUCCACGACUCUGGUAGCACGAUCUUGCACAUUUCAUACGCUUCUGCCUCCCCUCACAUUUUCUUUAUAAUUUAUAGUGGAUAUCUGAACUCUUCUCUUGGACGGAACACAGGUGCUUGCGUACAGUAAAUGCAGAUCAAUCUACAGUGGGUCGAUCUUCAAUAGGUGUAUGCAUCGUGAGUUGUUUUUCAGUAAAUGCAGAUGGUUAUAAUA